rnacentral:tRNA from 1 species
GAUACGGUACUCAAGAGGUUAAAGAGGACAGCCUGCAAAGCUGUUAAUCGUCGGUUCGAAUCCGACCCGUAUCUCCA